CACUCCUACGGGAGGCAGCAGUGGGGAAUUUUGGACAAUGGGCGAAAGCCUGAUCCAGCAAUGCCGCGUGAGUGAAGAAGGCCUUCGGGUUGUAAAGCUCUUUUGUCAGGGAAGAAACGGUGAGAGCUAAUAUCUUUUGCUAAUGACGGUACCUGAAGAAUAAGCACCGGCUAACUACGUGCCAGCAGCCGCGGUAAUACGUAGGGUGCAAGCGUUAAUCGGAAUUACUGGGCGUAAAGCGUGCGCAGGCGGUUUUGUAAGUCUGAUGUGAAAUCCCCGGGCUCAACCUGGGAAUUGCAUUGGAGACUGCAAGGCUAGAAUCUGGCAGAGGGGGGUAGAAUUCCACGUGUAGCAGUGAAAUGCGUAGAUAUGUGGAGGAACACCGAUGGCGAAGGCAGCCCCCUGGGUCAAGAUUGACGCUCAUGCACGAAAGCGUGGGGAGCAAACAGGAUUAGAAACCCGAGUAGUCCCAUGA
rnacentral:rRNA from 1 species